AAUAGGCAGGCAGGUCCAAACGCUAAACCACCAUUCAAUUGACAACCCUUUAUUUUUCAACUUAGGUAACAGUCCAAAAUCAGUGUCCAAACGCUAAACCACCAUUCAAUUGACAACCCUUUAUUUUUCAACUUAGGUAACAGUCCAAAAUCAGUGUAGAUGGGUGAAAAA